GGCAGGAGCAAACAGGAGACGGUGAGUGCCCACACACAGUGCAGGUCUCCAUGUUUUUCUCCUGGCUGACCACCCUCUGGACUGGCUGAUACACCUCAUUCAGGUCCCUGACUACCCAGCCACGGGCUGUAGCCUGUGAAUUGGUAUAGACUUGCAACUUUGACCAUUCCUACUUCCAGGCAACAUGGAUAAUCAGGUAUAGAGAGAGAGAAAAAAAGCCUUUUCUAGCUCAGUAGCUGCUCACCAGGUACCACGGGAUCUAUUAAUUUGCUGACGUAACAAAACCACAUAUGGAACAGCAAUUGCAACUGGAGUCAGCGCCUGACUAUGUGGAUGAUAAUCCAGUGUCAUUCUCCGAGAUCCAUCUGUUGUCUGCAUAGGAUGUUGCUGAGCCAGCCAAGCAGAUGAGAAUCCAGGUUCUGAGGCGGCCUGGAAGGCCAGCUCCACCCUCCUCCUCAAGCAUCUUUCCAGCCCCCUACUUUUGCAGCCAUGAGAGGAAGACAGUGAAUUCCAGGAACUGUCUCCUCCCAACUCUCCUGGUCCAGGAGUGAGGCCUGCAUGCCAGUUGCCUGUGUGAUGAGACAGAACUCAGCUCUUCUGCUUACUGGCUGUGUGUCCCUGGAUAAGUGAGUGUACCGAGCUCUGGGCCAGGAACUCUCAGACCUAUUGAUGAUAACAAGAUCAAGUUCAGUGCCAUUGGCUGUCUGGUGAGACCUUCUUGGCUUUCCUUGUCUGUCCUCCUGGGAUUAUAUUUCUUUAUUUAUUCAUUUUGAUAGUAGCAUCAUAUAAA